CACGUAGGUGGUUCAUUAAGUCGGAUGUGAAAGCCCCGGGCUCAACCUGGGAACUGCACUCGAUACUGGUGAACUAGAGUAUGGUAGAGGCAAGUGGAAUUCCAGGUGUAGCGGUGAAAUGCGUAGAUAUCUGGAGGAACAUCAGUGGCGAAGGCGACUUGCUGGACCAAUACUGACACUGAGGUGCGAAAGCGUGGGGAGCAAACA
rnacentral:rRNA from 1 species